rnacentral:rRNA from 1 species
AGAGUUUGAUCCUGGCUCAGGAUGAACGCUAGCGACAGGCCUAACACAUGCAAGUCGAGGGGCAGCGGAGAGGUAGCAAUACCUUUGCCGGCGACCGGCGCACGGGUGAGUAACACGUAUGCAAUCCACCUGUAACAGGGGGAUAACCCGGAGAAAUCCGGACUAAUACCCCAUAAUAUGGGCUCUCCGCAUGGAGGGUCCAUUAAAGAGAGCAAUUUUGGUUACAGACGAGCAUGCGCUCCAUUAGCCAGUUGGCGGGGUAACGGCCCACCAAAGCGACGAUGGAUAGGGGUUCUGAGAGGAAGGUCCCCCACAUUGGAACUGAGACACGGUCCAAACUCCUACGGGAGGCAGCAGUGAGGAAUAUUGGUCAAUGGUCGGCAGACUGAACCAGCCAAGUCGCGUGAGGGAAGACGGCCCUACGGGUUGUAAACCUCUUUUGUCGGAGAGUAAAGUACGCUACGUGUAGCGUAUUGCAAGUAUCCGAAGAAAAAGCAUCGGCUAACUCCGUGCCAGCAGCCGCGGUAAUACGGAGGAUGCAAGCGUUAUCCGGAUUUAUUGGGUUUAAAGGGUGCGUAGGCGGCACGCCAAGUCAGCGGUGAAAUUUCCGGGCUCAACCCGGACUGUGCCGUUGAAACUGGCGAGCUAGAGUGCACAAGAGGCAGGCGGAAUGCGUGGUGUAGCGGUGAAAUGCAUAGAUAUCACGCAGAACCCCGAUUGCGAAGGCAGCCUGCUAGGGUGCGACAGACGCUGAGGCACGAAAGCGUGGGUAUCGAACAGGAUUAGAUACCCUGGUAGUCCACGCAGUAAACGAUGAAUACUAACUGUUUGCGAUACAAUGUAAGCGGUACAGCGAAAGCGUUAAGUAUUCCACCUGGGGAGUACGCCGGCAACGGUGAAACUCAAAGGAAUUGACGGGGGCCCGCAC